rnacentral:rRNA from 1 species
GUAGGUGGCAAGCGUUGUCCGGAAUUAUUGGGCGUAAAGCGCGCGCAGGCGGUUCUUUAAGUCUGAUGUGAAAGCCCACGGCUCAACCGUGGAGGGUCAUUGGAAACUGGAGAACUUGAGUACAGAAGAGGAAAGCGGAAUUCCACGCGUAGCGGUGAAAUGCGUAGAGAUGUGGAGGAACACCAGUGGCGAAGGCGGCUUUCUGGUCUGUAACUGACGCUGAGGCGCGAAAGCGUGGGGAGCAAACAGGGAUUAGAUACCCUGGUAGUCCACGCCGUAAACGAUGAGUGCUAAGUGUUAGGGGGGUUUCCGCCCCCUUAGUGCUGCAGCUAACGCAUUAAGCACUCCGCCUGGGGAUACGGCCGCAAGGCUG